UCCAGCAUGAACUCCAUGUCCUCCAGGAAGCCCUGGUGGACUUGGGCAGACCUGGGGACACGUCCAGCCUCCUGGCAAGAUGGGGGUAACAGGAGUGUGUAUAAAGGGGAAGGCAAGAAUGUGCCCUUGGUGGAGCAGUGAAAAGAAGCCCUCAUGUGACAAGUGUUUUGCUCCUAACCCACCUCCUCUGGUGACAUCUUCUGGGUUAACUGCUCUUGCUGAUCUCUGCACAUAAACCAAGCUAACUGUGAGAGGCCUUUCAUUUCUAGUUUAAAGCAAGGAGACCACAGUUCCUUCUGAACACUCACCCCCAAGGAGAUAAGGAGGGCGUCCCAUGAGCAACACUGUGUGUUAAAGAUGUACACGAGCACUGGGACCUGACCAAGGACAAACACGUCUCCAGCCCCCUCAGACCCUUGCUGCUGCUCAGAUGUCCGCUGUCAUCGGUCACAUCCUAACCUCAACCCCCUCUCUCCUCCCACAUAAAAGGAGGCUGAAAUUCAUAGUAACUUCAGAUGGUUCUUUAGGACACUGGCCCACCACCUUCUCGGUUGCUGGCUCUCCAAAACAAAGCCCCCUCCCUUGACCCAAUUCCUUGUUUCUUGACGUACUGGCUGUUGUGCAGUGCAUGGUACCGGCUUGAACUCGGUUAUGUUGGCAUGGCCUCUGGCGGUGCUCAGUUUGUGUGGAUGAGUAUUUUACAGCUACUGUCCUAUUUCCAGUCCCCUUCCUCUGGACGGCUAUGGGAUGUGCUGUGGAUGCCCUCUCUUAGGCUGGAAUAAACCACCCUACCUUCUCCUCUG
rnacentral:lncRNA from 10 species